GAUUGAUUUUGGUCGCCAACGAGUGGCGGACGGGUGAGUAACACGUAGGUAACCUGCCCAGAAGCGGGGGACAACAUUUGGAAACAGAUGCUAAUACCGCAUAACAGCGUUGUUCGCAUGAACAACGCUUAAAAGAUGGCUUCUCGCUAUCACUUCUGGAUGGACCUGCGGUGCAUUAGCUUGUUGGUGGGGUAACGGCCUACCAAGGCGAUGAUGCAUAGCCGAGUUGAGAGACUGAUCGGCCACAAUGGGACUGAGACACGGCCCAUACUCCUACGGGAGGCAGCAGUAGGGAAUCUUCCACAAUGGGCGCAAGCCUGAUGGAGCAACACCGCGUGAGUGAAGAAGGGUUUCGGCUCGUAAAGCUCUGUUGUUAAAGAAGAACACGUAUGAGAGUAACUGUUCAUACGUUGACGGUAUUUAACCAGAAAGUCACGGCUAACUACGUGCCAGCAGCCGCGGUAAUACGUAGGUGGCAAGCGUUAUCCGGAUUUAUUGGGCGUAAAGAGAGUGCAGGCGGUUUUCUAAGUCUGAUGUGAAAGCCUUCGGCUUAACCGGAGAAGUGCAUCGGAAACUGGAUAACUUGAGUGCAGAAGAGGGUAGUGGAACUCCAUGUGUAGCGGUGGAAUGCGUAGAUAUAUGGAAGAACACCAGUGGCGAAGGCGGCUACCUGGUCUGCAACUGACGCUGAGACUCGAAAGCAUGGGUAGCGAACAGGAUUAGAUACCCUGGUAGUCCAUGCCGUAAACGAUGAGUGCUAGGUGUUGGAGGGUUUCCGCCCUUCAGUGCCGGAGCUAACGCAUUAAGCACUCCGCCUGGGGAGUACGACCGCAAGGUUGAAACUCAAAGGAAUUGACGGGGGCCCGCACAAGCGGUGGAGCAUGUGGUUUAAUUCGAAGCUACGCGAAGAACCUUACCAGGUCUUGACAUCUUGCGCCAACCCUAGAGAUAGGGCGUUUCCUUCGGGAACGCAAUGACAGGUGGUGCAUGGUCGUCGUCAGCUCGUGUCGUGAGAUGUUGGGUUAAGUCCCGCAACGAGCGCAACCCUUGUUACUAGUUGCCAGCAUUAAGUUGGGCACUCUAGUGAGACUGCCGGUGACAAACCGGAGGAAGGUGGGGACGACGUCAGAUCAUCAUGCCCCUUAUGACCUGGGCUACACACGUGCUACAAUGGACGGUACAACGAGUCGCGAACUCGCGAGGGCAAGCAAAUCUCUUAAAACCGUUCUCAGUUCGGACUGCAGGCUGCAACUCGCCUGCACGAAGUCGGAAUCGCUAGUAAUCGCGGAUCAGCAUGCCGCGGUGAAUACGUUCCCGGGCCUUGUACACACCGCCCGUCACACCAUGAGA
rnacentral:rRNA from 2 species